rnacentral:rRNA from 1 species
UACGUAGGGUGCAAGCGUUAUCCGGAAUUAUUGGGCGUAAGGAGCUCGUAGGCGGUUUGUCGCGUCUGCUGUGAAAACUGGGGGCUCAACCCCCCAGCCCUGCAGUGGGUACGGGCAGACUAGAGUGCGGUAGGGGAGAUUGGAAUUCCUGGUGUAGCGGUGGAAUGCGCAGAUAUCAGGAGGAACACCGAUGGCGAAGGCAGAUCUCUGGGCCGUAACUGACGCUGAGGAGCGAAAAGCAUGGGGAGCGAACAGG